AGGGGCAGCAUGGUCUUAGCUUGCUAAGGCCGAUGGCGACCGGCGCACGGGUGAGUAACACGUAUCCAACCUGCCGUCUACUCUUGGACAGCCUUCUGAAAGGAAGAUUAAUACAAGAUGGCAUCAUGAGUCCGCAUGUUCACAUGAUUAAAGGUAUUCCGGUAGACGAUGGGGAUGCGUUCCAUUAGAUAGUAGGCGGGGUAACGGCCCACCUAGUCUUCGAUGGAUAGGGGUUCUGAGAGGAAGGUCCCCCACAUUGGAACUGAGACACGGUCCAAACUCCUACGGGAGGCAGCAGUGAGGAAUAUUGGUCAAUGGGCGAGAGCCUGAACCAGCCAAGUAGCGUGAAGGAUGACUGCCCUAUGGGUUGUAAACUUCUUUUAUAAAGGAAUAAAGUCGGGUAUGGAUACCCGUUUGCAUGUACUUUAUGAAUAAGGAUCGGCUAACUCCGUGCCAGCAGCCGCGGUAAUACGGAGGAUCCGAGCGUUAUCCGGAUUUAUUGGGUUUAAAGGGAGUGUANAUGGAUAUUUAAGUCAGUUGUGAAAGUUUGCGGCUCAACCGUAAAAUUGCAGUUGAUACUGGAUAUCUUGAGUGCAGUUGAGGCAGGCGGAAUUCGUGGUGUAGCGGUGAAAUGCUUAGAUAUCACGAAGAACUCCGAUUGCGAAGGCAGCCUGCUAAGCUGCAACUGACAUUGAGGC
rnacentral:rRNA from 1 species